UACGUAGGGUGCAAGCGUUAAUCGGAAUUACUGGGCGUAAAGCGUGCGCAGGCGGUUGUGCAAGACAGAUGUGAAAUCCCCGGGCUUAACCUGGGAACUGCAUUAGUGACUGGCAGGCUUUGAGUGUGGCAGAGGGAGGGAGAAUUCCACGUGUAGCAGUGAAAUGCGUAGAGAUGUGGAGGAAUACCGAUGGCGAAGGCAGCCUCCUGGGCCAACACUGACGCUCAUGCACGAAAGCGUGGGGAGCAAACAGG
rnacentral:rRNA from 1 species